UGUUGCACAUUUAUCACAGAUUGAUUGCAUUUGAAACAGUGCAUUUAUAGAAUUGUUGUUGUCGUUGUCGUCGUCUCUACGUUUGCUCGAGUUGAAUUUCAGAUCCUCUACUUUUGAAAAUAUAUAUGUACAUAUUUUAUCAUGGUAGCUAGUCAUGGAUUGACAUUACCACAUUGACAUUUUCGCUUUUUCCAUUGACGAUGGUGACAUGUAGAGCUAUAGUCAUAUCAGAGAAAAAUGAUGGACAUUUGACUAACUCAAUUGUUAUCAUGCAUAUAUAUAUAUGUAUAUAUGUAUAUACACGGACACAAUAACCUCUGCAUAACAAGUCUUUGGCAAUAAUAUAGGUUCUCUUGGCUUUUUGACAUUUUGGAAUUGUGUACAUUUGACUGAUGCAUACAUAACACAUCCUAUAAGAAAACUUUUUGGGCACUGUUUGUUCUUGGUCAUGAUUGGUAAUAUACAUAACAUGCUUACAAUUCCUAUUUUGGAAAUUAAAUUUGAAGGCUCAUCUUUGUGUUUGUUUGUUUGUUUUUUUUUUUUUUUGAAUCUGCAGUGGCCACGGAAGCUUUUCCGAUGACUCUUUGUUGAACAGUGUUGUUGGACAUCCCCUGCAUUCGUCAAUUCUUGUGCCUUAUCAUGGAUGGAGAAUUAGCCAUAGAACUCACCAUCAGAAUCAUGGACAUGUUGAAAAUGAUGAAUCAUGGGUAUUGUUUUUAGAACGACUUUAAACAGUAAAUUGGGGCAUCGUUGACGGAACACAAAGACUCCGAUUGUCGUUGUCUCUGGCUCUAAAAGUAGUCCACUAUCAUGACUUGGCAGUUUGGAAGAAGUCCAUGGGAGAGGGAGAGGGAGAGGGAGAGAGAGAUGAAUGUCAAGAUCAUCAGACCCCUUUGGUUGAUUCUUCCAUCGACAGAACUGACUGCUAGGUUGGCGGCGCAUCAACAUGAAGGAUGAAACAAGCUUUAAUGCUAUAUGAUAGGUGAUAUAUGCAAAAGGGUACAGAUGGUAUGCCACCUCCAAGGACAUAGCUUCGGGAGUUAGAGGCAGAC